AUGGGAGGCAGGAUUUCGGCUAGUUGUUGGAUGAAGUCGUUGUUGUUUAGGAACAAGAUGUCUAGGUCUUGUUUUGUGAAAAGUUGAGGUGGGAUGGAACCGGUAAAGGAGUUGAAUCGGAUAUCGAGAAAUGACAAGGUGCGCAUCCCGAGUAUGGCGAUGGGAAACGUACCGGUGAAUAAGUUGUUGCUUAGGUCUAUUUCGUAGAGGUACGGAAGUUUAGCAAUAUUUGGUGAAAUGGUGCCCGAGAAGAAGUUUGAGUUGGCGUGAAAGAGGGCGAGGUCGGGUAACAGGUCGAGGAAACCAUCGAGAGUUGGAGCCUUAAGAUGGAAUCCAUUGAAGUCUAUGGAGGCAAGGGCGGUGGCGGUUUUGUUGUCAGGCGGGUUGUCACAGUAAAACCCUUUGUAAUUGCAUAUAUCUGACCCCACCCAAGAUCCAGUGAUAUUUUGGGGGUCAGAUGUUAUACUUUUCUUGAAAGUUUGUAUCAACGGAUAUACUACGGCUAGCCGUUGGUCGACAAAAGUUAGCUUGUUUCUGAUUGCUUCAACAGCGUUUCCAUCUACGAUUGAUGUUAAUUCUCCAAGAAUUUUGCUAGGAUGGAAAACCGCGACAAUAACGAUGAGUUUGAAAAUGAAAAUGAUGAUCAUUUGCAUAUUGUCUUAGAGUUUUCUUUGAUCUCAAAUGCAAGAAUGAGAGAAAUGUAUAUAGAAAUUGAUCAAUAUAGCCACUAAAUACUAAUGUUUUAAGGUUCAUAGUCGUCUAGUUUAUGAGGAAAUUUUGAUUGGUUGGUGUUGUUUGUCUUCCACUUUGAAAAGAGAAGAGCAGAAGAAAAAAGUGAUGGU
rnacentral:lncRNA from 1 species